rnacentral:rRNA from 1 species
GAGCCUACGGGAGGCAGCAGUGAGGAAUAUUGGUCAAUGGGCGAGAGCCUGAACCAGCCAAGUCGCGUGAGGGAGUACUGCCCUAUGGGUUGUAAACCUCUUUUGUCGGGGAGCAAAAGCCGGACGUGUCCGGCUGUGAGAGUACCCGAAGAAAAAGCAUCGGCUAACUCCGUGCCAGCAGCCGCGGUAAUACGGAGGAUGCGAGCGUUAUCCGGAUUUAUUGGGCGUAAAGCGAGUGCAGGCGG